AACGAACGCUGGCGGCGUGGAUAAGACAUGCAAGUCGAACGAGAACUUUCGCGGUAGCAAUACAGUGGAAGUUCUAGUGGCGAACGGGUGCGUAACACGUGGGCAAUCUGCCUUAAAGUGGGGGAUAGCUCGGCGAAAGCCGGAUUAAUACCGCAUGUGAUUACCGGAGACAUCUUCGGAACAUCAAAGUCGGGGCAACCUGACGCUUUUUGAGGAGCCCGCGGCCUAUCAGCUUGUUGGUGAGGUAACGGCUCACCAAGGCGUUGACGGGUAGCUGGUCUGAGAGGACGACCAGUCACACUGGAACUGAGACACGGUCCAGACACCUACGGGUGGCAGCAGUCGAGAAUUUUUCUCAAUGGGGGAAACCCUGAAGGAGCGACGCCGCGUGGAGGAUGAAGGUCUUCGGGUUGUAAACUCCUGUCAUUUGGGAACAAUGCUUACGUAUUAACUGUACGUGAGUUGAUAGUACCAGAAGAGGAAGAGACGGCUAACUCUGUGCCAGCAGCCGCAGUAAGAC
rnacentral:rRNA from 1 species